rnacentral:rRNA from 1 species
GCCUACGGGGGGCAGCAGUGCGGGAUAUUGCACAAUGGGGGAAACCCUGAUGCAGCGACGCCGCGUGGGUGAAGCAGCGCCUCUGCGCGUAAAGCCCCGUCAGCAGGGAAGAAAAUGACGGUACCUGAAGAAGAAGCCCCGGCUAACUACGUGCCAGCAGCCGCGGUAAUACGUAGGGGGCAAGCGUUAUCCGGAUUUACUGGGUGUAAAGGGGGCGCAGACGGCGAUGCAAGCCAGGAGUGAAAGCCCGGGGCCCAACCCCGGGACUGCUCCUGGCACUGCGUGGCUAGAGUGCCGGAGGGGCA